UCUUACUCUUUAUCUGAGAUACCGGCGGAUUUUGCCAGCCUCCUCGAAUUCUUACCGUUUGUCCUGCGUUACACGCCGGGGAAAGGAAUUCUGGGAUCGUGUGUUAUGCUGAUCCAAAAUGUUUUUAAGAAAUAAAGAAGUUGUAAAACAAUGGAUACAAGUAUAUAUUUAUAAUACAACAAAUGACGAUUCUGAAAAAGAAGUUGAUGACCAGAAAAAGGGAUAGGAAGAUGACCUGUUUGCUUGAAGAGCGAGAGCAGAGAGCAAAGAGCGGAGUAACUGGAUCCUUGAGGGUGCCUUUGGCUUAAGGGGGAAGCUGACUCUUCCGGAGAAUCUUGGAGCCGACAACAAAGGAACUCAGCACCCAGCUAACUUCCAGGAAGAAGCUUCCUUUCCUCCCCCUGCUUUUCCCCUUUCCCCUCCUUUCUCUCUCUGCAGCCAUCAGAAAUAAACUCUAGGUCGUUUCAUCUGAAAUAUGCUUUAUUCCAGGGAUAGUAAUAUCUCAGAGAAUCUCUGAAAAAGAUCUCUAGAAAAGGCAAGGAAACAGAUUAUCCCCUAGAGCCUCCAGAAGGUAAGGCAGCCCUAUUGACCUCUUGAUUUUAGUCCAGUGAGACCUUUGUUGGACUCCUAACAUACAGAACUGUAAUAUAAUAAAUGUGUGUUCUUUUAAGCCACUAAACUCAUGGUCACU